rnacentral:lncRNA from 1 species
UUGUCCCAGAGAUUCAGUGAAUUGCUGCAUGCUGCUCAUGUAUAGGUCGAUGUAAUCUUGUUGCGCCACCUCUUCUGGUUUUAUGUUCACGCUGAUAAGUGGCUUGGAAAAGUCGAAUACAGGCAAGGUAAAGUCGAAUACAGGUGCUUUUCCGACAUCCUCUGUCUUCUUCUCACUGAGUGAAACCACAUCCUGAUUCACAAAGUCCGAAGUUUUUGCAACAUCCUCAGUCUUCUCACCGGUUGAUACCACGUCCUUGUUCACAGAUU